rnacentral:rRNA from 1 species
GACGAACCGUGCGAACGUUGUUCGGAAUCACUGGGCUUAAAGGGCGCGUAGGCGGGCUGACAAGUCUGGGGUGAAAUGCCGCGGCUCAACCGUGGAACUGCCUCAGAUACUGUCGGCCUCGAGGGAGGUAGGGGCGUGCGGAACUGUAGGUGGAGCGGUGAAAUGCGUUGAUAUCUACAGGAACUCCGGUGGCGAAAGCGGCGCGCUGGACCUCUUCUGACGCUGAAGCGCGAAAGCUAGGGGAGCAAACGGG